rnacentral:lncRNA from 1 species
CCUACCGGCAAAAGCUGCUGGUUCUGUUCGUUUCGGUGAAGAAGGUGAGAGGCCGCAUGGAGUUUCUCUAAUCCCUUCCCCGUUGCUUUUAUGCUUCGGCUCCUGCCUCGCCACACUUCAUCGGCAGCUCAUCAGCCCCAGUAAACGGCUGGCCUAUGUCGCUGCAAAUGAGCAGCGUGCAUGGGUCUUACCCCGGUGGAAGG